ensembl:snRNA U6 U6 spliceosomal RNA
GUACCUGUUUCCAUGGAACAUACUACUAAAAUUAGAAUGACAACAGAAGACUAACAUGACCCCUGUGUAAGGUUGAUAGACACAUUCAAGAAGUACUCCAUAUUUUU